GCACCCGUGAGGCUUGGGCUCAGGGGGUAAGGAGGCGCAAGCACGCGCGCGGGGUACGACGUCCAGGUGAGGCUGGGGCAGUCCAGGACGGAAGGCUAGGGGAGAGGAGAAGGGGUCCAGGUGAGGCCAGGGUCAGAGUCCUGGGAAGGGCCAAGCUCGGUGGGAUCAGGAUUCGACAGCCGGGUGCUAACGGAGGGGGCAGAAUGAAUGGGCCCCAGGGGAUACUGUAAACAAAGCGCCUCCGUCGGCCUCAAGCCCGCUCAGACACUCACCCGCCUCCUUCCCCACGGGCUCCGCCUCCUUCCCCACGGGCUCCGCCGUGUCGCCGUUGCUGCCGGACACCUCCGCCAUCUUCUCUGAAGACCCCGCUAAGCGCAGCCAGAAACGGCUUUAGCCCCCGUCUCGAGACCCAAAUUCCAGCUCGGGACGCGGAUCUCGCGAGAACAACGGCCGUGGUUGGUUCCCCCCCUCCCCCCGCCUCUAUGGCGUCAGCAACCGCGAGAUUUCAGGCGGGCGCUAAAGGCUUAUCUCGCGAGAUGUGCGGGCGACAGGGCGUGCUGGCCCCUGGUGCAUUGAACAUCAUCGUUUUUCGAAGAGUUUAACUAAUCUGAAGAGGGACGGAGCUCCUUUAGCACGGGAGGCAGAGAAUCAUCAAAUCUUAAGAGCCAGAGGGGCCAGCAGAAACCUUCCAGUCCAACCGCCACGAUACAAUUGGGGAGAUAGGCCUAGAGAGAGGGGGGCACUUGGCUAAGGCCACACCCAAGGGUAACCCGGGGAAAAAGCUCAGUGCUAUGGGUGGCCUUGGGGCUACAUCCUCCCCUCCCCACCUUGGCCUCUUC